rnacentral:rRNA from 1 species
UGCUAUACAUGCAAGUCGAGCGAACAGACAAGGAGCUUGCUCCUUUGACGUUAGCGGCGGACGGGUGAGUAACACGUGGGUAACCUACCUAUAAGACUGGGAUAACUUCGGGAAACCGGAGCUAAUACCGGAUAAUAUUUCGAACCGCAUGGUUCGAUAGUGAAAGAUGGUUUUGCUAUCACUUAUAGAUGGACCCGCGCCGUAUUAGCUAGUUGGUAAGGUAACGGCUUACCAAGGCGACGAUACGUAGCCGACCUGAGAGGGUGAUCGGCCACACUGGAACUGAGACACGGUCCAGACUCCUACGGGAGGCAGCAGUAGGGAAUCUUCCGCAAUGGGCGAAAGCCUGACGGAGCAACGCCGCGUGAGUGAUGAAGGUCUUCGGAUCGUAAAACUCUGUUAUUAGGGAAGAACAUACGUGUAAGUAACUAUGCACGUCUUGACGGUACCUAAUCAGAAAGCCACGGCUAACUACGUGCCAGCAGCCGCGGUAAUACGUAGGUGGCAAGCGUUAUCCGGAAUUAUUGGGCGUAAAGCGCGCGUAGGCGGUUUUUUAAGUCUGAUGUGAAAGCCCACGGCUCAACCGUGGAGGGUCAUUGGAAACUGGAAAACUUGAGUGCAGAAGAGGAAAGUGGAAUUCCAUGUGUAGCGGUGAAAUGCGCAGAGAUAUGGAGGAACACCAGUGGCGAAGGCGACUUUCUGGUCUGUAACUGACGCUGAUGUGCGAAAGCGUGGGGAUCAAACAGGAUUAGAUACCCUGGUAGUCCACGCCGUAAACGAUGAGUGCUAAGUGUUAAGGGGGUUUCCGCCCCUUAGUGCUGCAGCUAACGCAUUAAGCACUCCGCCUGGGGGAGUACGACCGCAAGGUUGAAACUCAAAGGAAUUGACGGGGACCCGCACAAGCGGUGGAACAUGUGGUUUAAUUCGAAGCAACGCGAAGAACCUUACCAAAUCUUGACAUCCUUUGACAACUCUAGAGAUAAGAGCUUUCCCCUUCGGGGGACAAAGUGACAGGUGGGGCAUGGUUGU